CACUGAGGUCCCCAGAAAGAGCCGGGGCAGCUUGGAGAGCUGUCCCCACACGAGAGCUUUGGCUUUUGGCUUUUACGAGCUUCACCUCGACAACCCUGUGCCCACCUCCCCAUUGGGAGACAGACCGUGGCCACAUGAACGCCCUGAGCUCUGCGUGACCCUACCCUGUCGGAACAGGGAAACGUCUGCCAAACCUCGGCUAGAUGACUGGCAUGUCUGAGACCACGAGGAGAAGCUUCCGGAACACAGCGUAACAACUGAGCGAUAGUACGGCGGGGCACGGCAGACAUGGGCUCCAGUCUCUCCCCCACCAGCCCAC